GUUAGGAAUCUUCCACAAUGGGGGCAACCCUGAUGGAGCAACACCGCGUGCUGGAUGAAGGCCUUCGGGUCGUAAACAGCUUUUGUAUACGAAGAAUAUGACGGUAAUAUACGAAUAAGGGUCGGCUAACUACGUGCCAGCAGCCGCGGUCAUACGUAGGACCCAAGCGUUAUCCGGAGUGACUGGGCGUAAAGAGUUGCGUAGGCGGCUUAUUAAGCGAGUAGUGAAAUCUGGGGGCUCAACCAUCAACACAUUGCUCGAACUGAUAGGCUUGAGAAUGGUAGAGGUAGUUGGAAUUUCUUGUGUAGGAGUGAAAUCCGUAGAUAUAAGAAGGAACACCAAUGGCGUAGGCAGACUACUGGACCAUUUCUGACGCUGAGGCACGAAAGCGUGGGGAGCGAACCGGAUUAGAAACCCGGGUAGUCC
rnacentral:rRNA from 1 species